rnacentral:rRNA from 1 species
CAGCAGCCGCGGGAAUACGAAGGGUGCAAGCGUUAAUCGGAAUUACUGGGCGUAAAGCGUGCGUAGGCGGUGAGUUAAGUCUGCUGUGAAAUCCCCGGGCUCAACCUGGGAAUGGCAGUGGAUACUGGCUCGCUAGAGUGUGUCAGAGGAUGGUGGAAUUCCCGGUGUAGCGGUGAAAUGCGUAGAGAUGUGGAGGAACACCAGUGGCGAAGGCGACUCUCUGGUCUGUAACUGACGCUGAGGAGCGAAAGCGUGGGGAGCGAACAGGAUUAGAUACCCCGGUAGUCCCUGUCUCUUAUAC